GACGAACGCUGGCGGCGUGCUUAACACAUGCAAGUCGAACGGUAAGGCCCUUCGGGGUACACGAGUGGCGAACGGGUGAGUAACACGUGGGUGAUCUGCCCUGCACUUCGGGAUAAGCCUGGGAAACUGGGUCUAAUACCGGAUAGGACCACUGCCUGCAUGGGUGGUGGUGGAAAGCUUUUGCGGUGUGGGAUGGGCCCGCGGCCUAUCAGCUUGUUGGUGGGGUGAUGGCCUACCAAGGCGACGACGGGUAGCCGGCCUGAGAGGGUGACCGGCCACACUGGGACUGAGAUAAGGGCCAGACUCCUACGGGAGGCAGCAGUGGGGAAUAUUGCACAAUGGGCGCAAGCCUGAUGCAGCGACGCCGCGUGAGGGAUGACGGCCUUCGGGUUGUAAACCUCUUUCAGCUAUGACGAAGCGCAAGUGACGGUAGUAGCAGAAGAAGGACCGGCCAACUACGUGCCAGCCGCCGCCGUAA
rnacentral:rRNA from 1 species